UACGUAGGGCGCAAGCGUUGUCCGGAAUUACUGGGCGUAAAGCGCGUGUAGGCGGCUAUGUAAGUCGGGGGUGAAAUCCUGGAGCUCAACUCCAGAACUGCCUUCGAUACUGGCGAUCUUGAGUCCGGAAGAGGUGAGUGGAACUCCUAGUGUAGAGGUGGAAUUCGUAGAUAUUAGGAAGAACACCAGUGGCGAAGGCGGCUCACUGGUCCGGUACUGACGCUGAGGUGCGAAAGCGUGGGGAGCAAACAGG
rnacentral:rRNA from 1 species